rnacentral:tRNA from 1 species
GGGGGCAUAGCUCAGUGGUAGAGCAUUCGACUGCAGAUCGAAAUGUCCCCGGUUCGAACCCGGGUGCCCCCU